rnacentral:rRNA from 2 species
GCGGCGUGCCUAAUACAUGCAAGUCGAACGAGUUCUCGUUGAUGAUCGGUGCUUGCACCGAGAUUCAACAUGGAACGAGUGGCGGACGGGUGAGUAACACGUGGGUAACCUGCCCUUAAGUGGGGGAUAACAUUUGGAAACAGAUGCUAAUACCGCAUAGAUCCAAGAACCGCAUGGUUCUUGGCUGAAAGAUGGCGUAAGCUAUCGCUUUUGGAUGGACCCGCGGCGUAUUAGCUAGUUGGUGAGGUAACGGCUCACCAAGGCGAUGAUACGUAGCCGAACUGAGAGGUUGAUCGGCCACAUUGGGACUGAGACACGGCCCAAACUCCUACGGGAGGCAGCAGUAGGGAAUCUUCCACAAUGGACGCAAGUCUGAUGGAGCAACGCCGCGUGAGUGAAGAAGGCUUUCGGGUCGUAAAACUCUGUUGUUGGAGAAGAAUGGUCGGCAGAGUAACUGUUGUCGGCGUGACGGUAUCCAACCAGAAAGCCACGGCUAACUACGUGCCAGCAGCCGCGGUAAUACGUAGGUGGCAAGCGUUAUCCGGAUUUAUUGGGCGUAAAGCGAGCGCAGGCGGUUUUUUAAGUCUGAUGUGAAAGCCCUCGGCUUAACCGAGGAAGCGCAUCGGAAACUGGGAAACUUGAGUGCAGAAGAGGACAGUGGAACUCCAUGUGUAGCGGUGAAAUGCGUAGAUAUAUGGAAGAACACCAGUGGCGAAGGCGGCUGUCUGGUCUGUAACUGACGCUGAGGCUCGAAAGCAUGGGUAGCGAACAGGAUUAGAUACCCUGGUAGUCCAUGCCGUAAACGAUGAAUGCUAGGUGUUGGAGGGUUUCCGCCCUUCAGUGCCGCAGCUAACGCAUUAAGCAUUCCGCCUGGGGGAGUACGACCGCAAGGUUGAAACUCAAAGGAAUUGACGGGGGCCCGCACAAGCGGUGGAACAUGUGGUUUAAUUCGAAGCAACGCGAAGAACCUUACCAGGUCUUGACAUCUUUUGAUCACCUG